AAAAUAAAAAUUUAUGUAUUUACUUUGACCAAAAUGUCUUCCAAUUUUUCAAACAAGCGAUAUGGCACUGUAUGUAAUAUUAUUCGGCCUAAGCAUAUUUAUGAUAGCGCUAGUAUUGGCUAUUAUAAAAAAAAUGUUCUUCUGUUGGCAAGAAGAGCACAAAAUAGAAAGAAUGAUGCUAACUACAGUGGACAGACCUGCUGUCUGCGUAAUGAUAUGUAUGGAAAAGUGCGUAAUACGACAGCGGAAAUAUGCGGACAACAUAAGCAUAUUCGAUGUCAUUGAUAAAAGUGAUAUUAGUCUACAGAAGAACAGAUUUAAAACAUCAAUUGGGUCCUAUGUAGAACAUACCAUUUAUGUGAAUAAAGACAAACACACUUCAACAACUUAGGUCAGGAGAAGUCGUCUGCUCGCGUCGGAGGUUUAGACAGGACUGCCCUCGUUGUCUUUUGUCCAAAGAAAGUCGGUCUAAUUUCGAAUCCUGUCAGUCUAGUAAGUCUGUCUUUGUGGCCUGUCAGUCGGGUCAUCCAUGGAAGCUGGACGUUGGUCAUCCAUGGAGGCUGGACGCGACACUCUUGAAGAAUGACAAAUAUAGAUUUGGAACAUGGCGAUGUUGAGGAUUAAUUUUUUUUUUCUACAGAUGUAAUUAAUAUGCUGCCACUGAAAUGGGACUUCUUAAACCAAAAAUUGAGUAACACACUUCACACAUCGGCACAUUUAACAAUACUGUGAUAAGAAAAACAGUAUGCAGUGUUUUUCCAAAAGACUGGCCGUUUAUAUACUUUAUUAUUAUUAGAUAUAAUUUGAGAAUAAAAAAUAGUUGACAGUCAUUUUUUUAUUAAUUUGUUUUAAUUUCCUAUUGUUAGAAAGAGGGUACCUCA